AUUUAAAUAGCUUAUAAGAUAGAGCAUAGUAUUGAAGAUACUAGAGAGACAAAUGUCUUUAAAUA
rnacentral:tRNA from 1 species